AACGAACGCUGGCGGCAGGCCUAACACAUGCAAGUCGAACGCUGUAGCAAUACAGAGUGGCAGACGGGUGAGUAACACGUGGGAACCUACCUAUUGGUACGGAAUAGCUCAGGGAAACUUGAGGUAAUACCGUAUACGCCCUUACGGGGAAAGAUUUAUCGCCCAAGGAUGAGCCCGCGUAAGAUUAGCUAGUUGGUGGGGUAAAGGCCUACCAAGGCGACGAUCUUUAGCUGGUCUGAGAGGAUGAUCAGCCACACUGGGACUGAGACACGGCCCAGACUCCUACGGGAGGCAGCAGUAGGGAAUAUUGGACAAUGGGGGGAACCCUGAUCCAGCCAUGCCGCGUGAGGGAAGAAGGUCCUCUGGAUUGUAAACCUCUUUUGGCAGGAAACAAACCUGCGCUAUACGCGCAGCUGAGGGUACCUGCAGAAUAAGCACCGGCUAACUCCGUG
rnacentral:rRNA from 1 species